CUGCUUAAUAUACUGAUUCGAGGGCCAGGUCUUAUAAAACUGUGCAUCAAUAACAUGAUUUUCUGUUUCUUUUUGGCGUGCUAUUCAUACACUGAAAUUGACUUCGGCGUUCAUGAUAUGCAUGUGCUUGACGUGCAUAUAAUACAGUUUUCGCGUGCCUAUUAUAUGCAUCUACCCCACACCUAAUCCUAAUGUAGCCAAGCCACUAGGAGGCGAUGUUGUACCUACGAUGGUAGGCAGGACUCUCUUUAAAUGCGUACUUCCGAUUAGAACCAUUUCAGUUGUUUGGCGUGCAGGUGGUUGUCCGUCGCUGGAAGAACAAUCGCUGUUGAUUUUUAGAUGUGCGUCUUAGAUGUUUCAUGCUGGUUAUUCUGAAUUAAAUACUUUGUGGACACUGAAUGAUCAACACUGCAUAUUGCACAAGUAAUUUUAAUUAUGUGAUUGCUCUUGGUCAACUGGAGAUGUUUUGAGUCUCUUAUACUUGUUAACUUGGGCUGGAGGAGUGGCAGACGCUGAAUGAGCAGCACAGCAUACUGCACGUGAGGGUUGACGAUCUAUGGAAGUGUAUGGUGAUGAUUAUAGCCCCUUUAUGGCGUAUGUGUAUGAUCAGCUAAAUGUUUCAAAGGUAUUUAUUUUAAUGUUUAUUGUGAGGCUAGGAUAGCUAGCAUUUUAACAUUGAUUGUAAUAAAUGUAUAGACAGUGGUUUCUAUUUGAAAUUGUAAUGUUUGUUUUUCUUAUGCGUGUAAUUUAAUGGUCCAACUUAAGAAUGUGGGAUUGUAUAACAUGGACUGACAAAUUGCGUUUUGCUGCUUAAUGUUGUUUUCUCUUUUUUUAGUUUGUUUCAGUCCAGCUCAGUUGAGCACUGUUUUUCCCACCUUCAUUUCUUUUUGUAUUUUGUUUUGCGAAUAUUAUAUUUUUGAGUGUUGCCCAGGACUUGUCUUUUGUAUUUUGAUUUUCUUUUGUGUUCUAGCGAGGCCCUGAUGUAUAGCCUUGCUCAGUGUGAUUACAGAAGAGGGGUAUUCUCACUUCCAUAUGCACAAGUGUGGGGUGUUAAGAGUGUCUGAAUUUUCAGUCAGUGUGCUGUGUAAGAAGACUGUAAUUUCUUUUGGGUUUAUUUAUUUAUUUAUUUUUUUGCAUUGUAUUGGUUGGUAUGGUUUGGAAGUGUUGUACUACCCCCUCACUUCCUGUAUUUCCAGCUCAUAUGAGCAGUGUUUGGCCAGCUUGUGAGCACAAUCAGAUAUGAUUAUAUUUAUUGUAUUUAAUAAAAGUGAAUUGUUAUUUAUAGUAAUUCUGCCUUGAGCCUUGGUGACCUUGGGAUCUCCUACCCAGAGUAAAUUGGAGUGGUGUAGUCGAAGAUAGUUUCAACAAAGAUAAACAUAUUUGAUAACCCAUCACACUAACAUAGAACGACUCCACUUGCAUUCCUUCACGUGAUCGGUCGAUAUGACAGGCAACCCCUUCUGGUAGUGUGAUUUAAAUAGUGUGAUUUCCAAUGACACUUUGACUCUGAGUACCGGCAACAUAUUAGGAAUGCCGGUACGCACGAAAAAUUGCCAGUACGCAGGAGGCUAAAAUACAGAAGUGCCGGUACUGCGUACCCAUGCGUACCGGCCCACUUCAAGCACUGCCCACGAGGCUAUCAGCUCAAAACUGCAAAACCAGUCAUAAGUGACACAGGUAUAUUUGUAGCAACAGCCAGCAACACACUGUAUGGGUCAAAAUGAUAAAUUUUUCUUUUAUGCCCAAAAUCAUUAGAUAUUAA